ensembl:lncRNA novel transcript
CAAAGUGCUGGGAUUCCAGGCGUGAGCCACCGCGCCGGGACCCAAGGCCCUUAAGUUUUAAGGCCUCAUUCUUCAGUCAGGUUUUCCCUGUUCCCGCGUGUUCGGCCAAUUUUUUGUUGUUGUUGUUUUGUUUUUGUUUUUGUUUUUGAGUCAAUUUUCCAGACAUCUUUAAUUAGCAAUAUGUUUAAGUAGUUACAAGCCUUUCCUUCUUUUCUUGUGACAGUUUGGGUUGAAUUUCUAUCGUUUGCAGCCUGUCACUGUAAGGCACAAACAUGAUCACGCAAGAUGCGAUAGUAGAUUUAAGCCAGUUGUUUUUAAGUUUGUGUUUAAGGAGAAACUAACAAUGAAAACGGCCUCGUUGACGGAGGAAAAGUUGGAAUGCAGCCUCUGGUGCUGUUUGAGCGAUCCCUCUCCCCGGGGCCUGGCCGCGCGCUGCUGUGUUCUGGAAGGGCUCAUUGUACAGUCAAGGCGGCAGGGCCUUCUUCUGUCACCCAUGCUGGAGUGCAGUAGCAUGAUCACAGCUCACGGUAGCCUCCACCUUCUGGGCUCAAUCCUCCUACCUCAGCCUUCCAAGUAGCUGGGACUACAGUCUUGAGGAUCCAUUUUCUGAGACGGUGAUGGGAAAGAUGUUGGUUGUCAAGUGGAAUCUCAGCAGUCAUUUUCAGACAAAGUUAGAGAAAACAAGUAUGGAAGAUGCCUGAUUCUCAAAGAGUCAUCCAGUCUUGGGAUUACCGCCUACGUCCAUGGAAGUGAAAGUCCUCUUUUUCUUUGUACCACUUACUGAGGUGGGGCCUGGUGGGAGGUGACUGGAUCGUGGAGGUGGAUUUCUCAUGAACAGUUUAGCACCAUCCUCUUGGUGCUGGCCUCCUGAUAGUGAGUGACUUCUCAGAAAAUUUCGUUGUUUAAAAGUGUGUCACCUCUGUCUCUCUCUUGCUCCUGCUUUUGCCAUGUGAUGUGUCUUCCCCCGCUUUGCCUUCCACCAUUAGUAAAAGCUCCCUGAGGCCUCUCCAAAAGCCAAGUAGAUGCUGGUGCCGUGUCUCCUGUAAAGCCCGCAGAACCUGAGCUAAUUAGACCUAUUUUACUUAUCAAUUAUUCAGUCUCAGGUAUUUCUUUAUAGCAAUGCAAGAAUGGCCUAAUAUACAUAUAAACAUAUAUUUACAUAUUUUUUACAUUUAAUUGUGUUUAUAUGUAUACUAUACAUAAUUAUUAAAAUAUAAAAUACUUUUUCUGAUGACACACAUGUUACUUCAGUGUGCAACUCAUUGGACUAAUUUGGGAGACUAGAAACCACAGUUCCUGCAGUGAAUAAUUAUCCUUUUAUUUACAUUUGCCAGUCUUUGCAAAAUGUCACUCUUUUGGAUUUGUGCUUAGCCUGAAAUUUUGCUCAACAUGGGUCAUUCCAUUCUUGAGAUAUUUUUAUGUUUUAUUUAAUGUUUAGUUGUCACCUUUCUUCAAUUUGAAUUUCUUUGAUUUGCCCACAGCCUUUUCCCCUUGAACAUAUUGUCCUUAACAAAGGUUGCACACAGCAGUUACACUUCCACUUUAAAAUGUACAGUUAUCCUAAGUGAGUAAUAAAAGUGACAGAGGUCUCUUUCACCUCUACAAUAAAGUCCUGUCAUUGAAA